UCUUUUUGUAAAAAUAAAAAGUCUCGCCUGCCCACUGAAUAUUAAAUGGCCGCAGUAUUUUGACUGUGCUAAGGUAGCAUAAUCAUUAGUUUUUUAAUUGAAAACUUGUAUGAAGGGUUGGAUGAAAAAAUUACUGUCUAAAGUUAAUUUAAUUAGAAUUUUAUUUUUAAGUUAAAAAGCUUAAAUAUCAUUAAAAGACGAGAAGACCCUAUAGAGUUUUAUAAGUCAAAUUAUUUUAAAAUUUUAGAAUUUAAUUUUUGUAAUAAUUUAUUUAUUUAGUUGGGGUGAUUGAAAAAUUUAAAAAACUUUUUUUUAAUUUUAUAUAUUUAUAAAUAAAUGCUUGAUCCAAUAUUUUUGAUUAAAAGAUAAAAUUACCUUAGGGAUAACAGCGUAAUUUUAUUGGAGAGUUCAAAUUGAUAAUAAAGAUUGCGACCUCGAUGUUGGAUUAAAA
rnacentral:rRNA from 1 species